AUAGCUGCUUGGCGAAGGAGACAGCAUGAUGAGGAAGACUGUUUGCUCAGGGUGUUUCUUCUGUUGCUGUGGGGGUGUGCUUUGACCCUUGAGGUUCACCCAGGAGUAGGAAACAUGACUGCAUAAUUUUGGGGUGGGGAGCACAUUCACGCUCCCC
rnacentral:snRNA from 1 species